UACGAAGGGGGCUAGCGUUGCUCGGAAUCACUGGGCGUAAAGCGCACGUAGGCGGCUUACUAAGUCAGGGGUGAAAUCCUGAAGCUCAACUCCAGAACUGCCUUUGAUACUGGUGAGCUUGAGUCCGGAAGAGGUGAGUGGAACUGCGAGUGUAGAGGUGAAAUUCGUAGAUAUUCGCAAGAACACCAGUGGCGAAGGCGGACUCACUGGUCCGGUACUGACGCUGAGGUGCGAAAGCGUGGGGAGCAAAGCAGGG
rnacentral:rRNA from 1 species